rnacentral:rRNA from 1 species
UAGGGAAUUUUCGUCAAUGGGGGAAGCCCUGAACGAGCAAUGCCGCGUGUGUGAAGAAGGUCUUCGGAUCGUAAAGCACUGUUGUAAGUGAAGAAUGCCAUAUAGAGGAAAUGCUAUGUGGGUGACGGUAGCUUACCAGAAAGCCACGGCUAACUACGUGCCAGCAGCCGCGGUAAUACGUAGGUGGCAAGCGUUAUCCGGAAUCAUUGGGCGUAAAGGGUGCGUAGGUGGCACGAUAAGUCUGAAGUAAAAGGCAACAGCUCAACUGUUGUAUGCUUUGGAAACUGUCGAGCUAGAGUGCAGAAGAGGGCGAUGGAAUUCCAUGUGUAGCGGUAAAAUGCGUAGAUAUAUGGAGGAACACCAGUGGCGAAGGCGGUCGCCUGGUCUGUAACUGACGCUCAGGCACGAAAGCGUGGGGAGCAAAUAGGGAUUAGAUACC